GGUAACACAUUGAGUCGAGUGAUACUAAUAGCUCGUGAGGCUUGACCAUAUU
rnacentral:rRNA from 1 species